ACUAAAAUAAUUUGAAUGACCAUUAAAUUAAAUGGAAAAAUCACAAUAUUCAAUCAAACUACAACCAACAAACAAAGUCAAAGGAACAAAACAGAGCACCUAACAAAAUACCUUAAAAUAAAAGGGUAAUAAUAAAAGGAACCCGUUGAGGAAGAAUCACUUUAACAACACUGGAAACAAGUAUAAAUUUGACGGCAAACUUCGACCGAUAAAAUUGCCACGGAAAUCGACGGAACCUCUAACUUGGACGACAACUUCAAUUGAUUUUACAAUUCAAAUGCUUGGACCAUUUUGAAGGUCACAAGAAUAGGAACACAACCACAAUCAGGCGACGGACUGAUCACGCUUCGUUGGAGAAAAGUCAAAUCGCACCGACAAAUCCGAAUUCUACAUAGAUCCGGAGAAAUCGAAGCUCAAAGGGUUGACUAGAAUUGAAACUUGGUGCGUUUUAGGGCCAACAGUUGGGCUGAUUUUAAAGCUGGUUUCGUGAGUUUUUUUACAUAAUAUUUUGGAGGUGCUCUAAUGGAGGUUUUGG
rnacentral:lncRNA from 1 species